GGAAGGUUAGCGUAACUGGUAACGCAGCGGUCUCGAAAACCGCCGGCCUCUGGCCAUCUGGGUUCGAAUCCCAGGCCUUCCGCCA
rnacentral:tRNA from 1 species